rnacentral:rRNA from 1 species
UACAGAGGUCCCGAGCGUUGUUCGGAUUCAUUGGGCGUAAAGGGGUGCGUAGGCGGCGGGGAAAGUCUGAUGUGAAAUCCUGGGGCUCAACCCUGGAACUGCAUUGGAUACUUCCUUGCUAGAGUACUGGAGAGGAAACUGGAAUUUACGGGUGUAGCAGUGAAAUGCGUAGAGAUCGUAAGGAAGACCAGUGGCGAAGGCGAGUUUCUGGACAGUUACUGACGCUGAGGCACGAAGGCCAGGGGAGCAAACGGG